rnacentral:RNase_P_RNA from 2 species
CCAGCCGGUCGGACGGCCGCGCGGACCGGGGCCGAAAGGCUGUUCGCGAGGAAAGUCCGGGCUCCACGGAAAAACGGUGCCGGAUAACAUCCGGCGGGGGCGACCCCAGGGACAGUGCCACAGAAAGCAGACCGCCCCGCCUUCGGGCAGGGUAAGGGUGAAAGGGUGGGGUAAGAGCCCACCGCGUCGACGGUAACGGAGGCGGCAAGGUAAACCCCACCGGGAGCAAGACCGAAUAGGAACGGCGCGGGGGGCAACCCUCAGGGCUUUUUCCGGCUUGACCGUUCGGGUAGGUUGCUAGAGGCCGAUGGCAACAUCGGUCCCAGAGGAAUGGUCGUCACGUUGCAUCGCUUUCGGGCGGUGCGGCCAUACAAAACCCGGCUUAUAGACCGGCUGGCAUU